rnacentral:rRNA from 1 species
ACGCUGGCGGCAGGCCUAACACAUGCAAGUCGAACGGUAGCACAGAGAGCUUGCUCUCGGGUGACGAGUGGCGGACGGGUGAGUAAUGUCUGGGAAACUGCCUGAUGGAGGGGGAUAACUACUGGAAACGGUAGCUAAUACCGCAUAACGUCGCAAGACCAAAGAGGGGGACCUUCGGGCCUCUUGCCAUCAGAUGUGCCCAGAUGGGAUUAGCUAGUAGGUGGGGUAACGGCUCACCUAGGCGACGAUCCCUAGCUGGUCUGAGAGGAUGACCAGCCACACUGGAACUGAGACACGGUCCAGACUCCUACGGGAGGCAGCAGUGGGGAAUAUUGCACAAUGGGCGCAAGCCUGAUGCAGCCAUGCCGCGUGUAUGAAGAAGGCCUUCGGGUUGUAAAGUACUUUCAGCGGGGAGGAAGGUGUUGUGGUUAAUAACCGCAGCAAUUGACGUUACCCGCAGAAGAAGCACCGGCUAACUCCGUGCCAGCAGCCGCGGUAAUACGGAGGGUGCAAGCGUUAAUCGGAAUUACUGGGCGUAAAGCGCACGCAGGCGGUCUGUCAAGUCGGAUGUGAAAUCCCCGGGGCUCAACCUGGGAACUGCAUUCGAAACUGGGCAGGCUAGAGUCUUGUAGAGGGGGGGUAGAAUUCCAGGUGUAGCGGU